rnacentral:RNase_P_RNA from 1 species
GCAGAAAUGAGGUCUGUCGCUGCGUGAAAUCAUAAGGAUUCACGAAGAGGAAAGUCCGGGCAACAUAGAGUACCGCACAUCCUAACGGGAAGCCGGCGGUGACGUCGGGGCAAGUGUGACAGAAAACAACCGCCUCCCCUCCCGGGGAGGUAAGGGUGAAAAGGCGGGGUAAGAGCCCACCGGCUCCGGAGGCGACUCCGGAGGCCGCAUAUCCUGCGGGUUGCAAGGCCAAAUACACCGACAGUUAAGGAUUGCUCGUCCAUUGUCGGGGGGUAGGCUGCUUUAGCCUCCGGGAGACCGGCGGCAUAGAUAAAUGACAGACACCGGCUCAGGCCGGCACAUAACCCGGCUUAUAUCUUUUCUGCAUCU